AUGCGUCUUCUGCUCCGGCCCUCACGCUGCCCAGGACCUCAGGAUCUGGGUCGGCCGCCCUCUAGCCCCUGGGUUCAAGGGCAAAGCUUGGGAAGCAAUGCCAGGAAUGGGCACAGCGCAGGAUGCUCCGUCCCGAAUCGGGGACAGGGGGAGGGGAGGAUGCGCACGGCAACUGCUGGGUCCCUGACAAGUAAACAGCUUGCUCUGAACAGGCGCGUCCACGUCCAGAGCCCGGCUGAGGGCCCUGCUCAUCCCAUCAAGGGCGGCAGCGGGACACCCUGGAUCCCCGCCCCCCCGGAGGCACAAAAGGGAUGCAUGGAGAGCAGGAGAGCAGGAGAGCACGAACCAGCCCACACCCGAGCAUCACGACGCGAGCGCGACCCCCUGACUCGGCCUCCCCAGCCGGGUCCGGUCCGCCCCGACACGCGCGCGCCUCCCCCAGCCCCCACGUCCCUGGACCCCGACCGCCCCGGGCGGACAAAGCCCUGCGCCGGGCGGGGCGGGGCGUGCGCAGGGGGGCACUGGGACCCCGCAGACGCCCGCACAGGUGGGCUCCGUACCGGGUCGGUGCCGGGGGCGGGGCCCGAGCUCCCUGGAGACGGUUGCCCAGGGGACGCGGCGGGCGGGUCCCGGAGCUACGCGAGCCUCCCGGCGGCGGCGCCGAGCCCGCGGGGGCCUGAGGGCAGGCCCGCGGCGCGGAGCCGGCGAGCCGGGCAGCGGCGGAGGGGCGCGGCCCGGGGCGGGGCCCGGACAGCGGGCCGGCGCGGGCGGGGCCGGGGGCGGGGCCGGGGCGGGCCGCCGAGCGGGGGCGGGGCCAGGGCCCGCCGCGCCGCGGGCACCGUCGGCAAAUUCCCGCGGCCCCAGCCAGGCGGAGUGUCUGAGCGCCGAGGACCGCGGGCUGCGCGGCGGCCGCAGCUGCAAAGGCUUCCCGACCCCCGCUGCUCAGCCCCGGGCAGGUGGAGCGUGCGCCCGGGGCCGGGAGCCCCCCAGCCGCCGCGGGACCCCGGCAGCGUGCGCACGCUGGCCCUGGGCCCCCUCCCGCCUCGUGACUGGAGAAUACAAAGUAGUGUUUGCAAAGGGAGCGAGGGCUGGGGGUCCCCCAAACCGCUCUCCCCUCCCGGGUUCCCGGGGAGUCUCCAGAACCGCCAGGGCACUGGACCCCCGACACUGGUCCGGAGCCGGGGUCACCCUCGGAACUGGCCAUCCGGGCUCUGCGCUCCCAUCCAGUGUGCGGGCCGUUCCCCAGCCGCUGGGCCUUCCUUUCCGUCGGGGUUCCCCGCACGGGUCGGAUUCAGAAGGUAA
rnacentral:lncRNA from 1 species